AUUCCUUUGGAAGAGAUAAAAUCCGUAAUUAAUUACAGAAAAAGUUUGAAGUAAACAUUUUAACCCUUCUAUAUUGCUCAUCAUAGGGAUGGUGCCAAUGGGGAGGCUAGUGGUAGUACCCGGCACUAUUUGACCCAACUAUUCGGUGUAGGACAUAUUAGGGACGGCACAAGAGGGAGGCUAGUGGUAGUACCUCGUGCCCCUUCCAACUCCACCGGAUAGGGAGCAAAUAGAAUAUAGAGCAUAGAAAAGUAAAACCGAAAAACAAAUGAAGAUAAUCAAAAUACUCAUUGAGUGGUUAAAGAAAGAAAUUAAAAAAAAAUUGGGGAAUGAAUGAUAAAUAAAUGAAAAUAUAUAAGAAGGUUGUGAAAAAGCAAAUGAAGUUUCAAUCACUUG
rnacentral:lncRNA from 1 species